rnacentral:rRNA from 1 species
GCUUGUCUCAAAGAUUAAGCCAUGCAUGUCUAAGUAUAAACUGCUUUAUACUGUGAAACUGCGAAUGGCUCAUUAAAUCAGUUAUAGUUUAUUUGAUGGUACCUACUACUCGGAUACCCGUAGUAAAUCUAGAGCUAAUACGUGCGUAAAUCCCGACUUCUGGAAGGGACGUAUUUAUUAGAUAAAAGGCCGACCGGGCUCUGCCCGACUCGCGGUGAAUCAUGAUAACUUCACGAAUCGCAUGGCCUUGUGCCGGCGAUGUUUCAUUCAAAUUUCUGCCCUAUCAACUGUCGACUGUGAUAUAGACGCUCACAGUGGUUUUGACGGGUAACGGGGAAUCAGGGUUCGAUUCCGGAGAGGGAGCCUUAAAAACGGCUACCACAUCCAAGGAAGGCAGCAGG